GUCCUAGCCGUAAACGAUGGACACUAGGUGUUGGCGGUAUCAACCCCGCCAGUGCCGAAGCUAACGCAUUAAGUGUCCCGCCUGGGGAGUACGGCCGCAAGGCUAAAACUCAAAGGAAUUGACGGGGCCCCGCACAAGCAGCGGAGCGUGGGGUUUAAUUCGAUGCAACGCGAAGAACCUUACCAGGGCUUGACAUGACCAGGACACCGGCGGAAACGUCGGCUCCCCGCAAGGGGCCUGGCCACAGGUGUUGCAUGGCUGUCGU
rnacentral:rRNA from 1 species